GGGUUGUGAGGUUAAGCGACUAAGCGUACACGGUGGAUGCCCUGGCAGUCAGAGGCGAUGAAGGACGUGCUAAUCUGCGAUAAGCGUCGGUAAGGUGAUAUGAACCGUUAUAACCGGCGAUUUCCGAAUGGGGAAACCCAGUGUGAUUCGUCACACUAUCAUUAACUGAAUCCAUAGGUUAAUGAGGCGAACCGGGGGAACUGAAACAUCUAAGUACCCCGAGGAAAAGAAAUCAACCGAGAUUCCCCCAGUAGCGGCGAGCGAACGGGGAGCAGCCCAGAGCCUGAAUCAGUGUGUGUGUUAGUGGAAGCGUCUGGAAAGGCGCGCGAUACAGGGUGACAGCCCCGUACACAAAAAUGCACAUGCUGUGAGCUCGAUGAGUAGGGCGGGACACGUGGUAUCCUGUCUGAAUAUGGGGGGACCAUCCUCCAAGGCUAAAUACUCCUGACUGACCGAUAGUGAACCAGUACCGUGAGGGAAAGGCGAAAAGAACCCCGGCGAGGGGAGUGAAAAAGAACCUGAAACCGUGUACGUACAAGCAGUGGGAGCCUCUUUAUGGGGUGACUGCGUACCUUUUGUAUAAUGGGUCAGCGACUUAUAUUCUGUAGCAAGGUUAACCGAAUAGGGGAGCCGAAGGGAAACCGAGUCUUAACUGGGCGUUAAGUUGCAGGGUAUAGACCCGAAACCCGGUGAUCUAGCCAUGGGCAGGUUGAAGGUUGGGUAACACUAACUGGAGGACCGAACCGACUAAUGUUGAAAAAUUAGCGGAUGACUUGUGGCUGGGGGUGAAAGGCCAAUCAAACCGGGAGAUAGCUGGUUCUCCCCGAAAGCUAUUUAGGUAGCGCCUCGUGAAUUCAUCUCCGGGGGUAGAGCACUGUUUCGGCAAGGGGGUCAUCCCGACUUACCAACCCGAUGCAAACUGCGAAUACCGGAGAAUGUUAUCACGGGAGACACACGGCGGGUGCUAACGUCCGUCGUGAAGAGGGAAACAACCCAGACCGCCAGCUAAGGUCCCAAAGUCAUGGUUAAGUGGGAAACGAUGUGGGAAGGCCCAGACAGCCAGGAUGUUGGCUUAGAAGCAGCCAUCAUUUAAAGAAAGCGUAAUAGCUCACUGGUCGAGUCGGCCUGCGCGGAAGAUGUAACGGGGCUAAACCAUGCACCGAAGCUGCGGCAGCGACACUAUGUGUUGUUGGGUAGGGGAGCGUUCUGUAAGCCUGUGAAGGUGUGCUGUGAGGCAUGCUGGAGGUAUCAGAAGUGCGAAUGCUGACAUAAGUAACGAUAAAGCGGGUGAAAAGCCCGCUCGCCGGAAGACCAAGGGUUCCUGUCCAACGUUAAUCGGGGCAGGGUGAGUCGACCCCUAAGGCGAGGCCGAAAGGCGUAGUCGAUGGGAAACAGGUUAAUAUUCCUGUACUUGGUGUUACUGCGAAGGGGGGACGGAGAAGGCUAUGUUGGCCGGGCGACGGUUGUCCCGGUUUAAGCGUGUAGGCUGGUUUUCCAGGCAAAUCCGGAAAAUCAAGGCUGAGGCGUGAUGACGAGGCACUACGGUGCUGAAGCAACAAAUGCCCUGCUUCCAGGAAAAGCCUCUAAGCAUCAGGUAACAUCAAAUCGUACCCCAAACCGACACAGGUGGUCAGGUAGAGAAUACCAAGGCGCUUGAGAGAACUCGGGUGAAGGAACUAGGCAAAAUGGUGCCGUAACUUCGGGAGAAGGCACGCUGAUAUGUAGGUGAAGCGACUUGCUCGUGGAGCUGAAAUCAGUCGAAGAUACCAGCUGGCUGCAACUGUUUAUUAAAAACACAGCACUGUGCAAACACGAAAGUGGACGUAUACGGUGUGACGCCUGCCCGGUGCCGGAAGGUUAAUUGAUGGGGUUAGCGGUAACGCGAAGCUCUUGAUCGAAGCCCCGGUAAACGGCGGCCGUAACUAUAACGGUCCUAAGGUAGCGAAAUUCCUUGUCGGGUAAGUUCCGACCUGCACGAAUGGCGUAAUGAUGGCCAGGCUGUCUCCACCCGAGACUCAGUGAAAUUGAACUCGCUGUGAAGAUGCAGUGUACCCGCGGCAAGACGGAAAGACCCCGUGAACCUUUACUAUAGCUUGACACUGAACAUUGAGCCUUGAUGUGUAGGAUAGGUGGGAGGCUUUGAAGUGUGGACGCCAGUCUGCAUGGAGCCGACCUUGAAAUACCACCCUUUAAUGUUUGAUGUUCUAACGUUGGCCCCUUAUCGGGGUUGCGGACAGUGUCUGGUGGGUAGUUUGACUGGGGCGGUCUCCUCCUAAAGAGUAACGGAGGAGCACGAAGGUUGGCUAAUCCUGGUCGGACAUCAGGAGGUUAGUGCAAUGGCAUAAGCCAGCUUGACUGCGAGCGUGACGGCGCGAGCAGGUGCGAAAGCAGGUCAUAGUGAUCCGGUGGUUCUGAAUGGAAGGGCCAUCGCUCAACGGAUAAAAGGUACUCCGGGGAUAACAGGCUGAUACCGCCCAAGAGUUCAUAUCGACGGCGGUGUUUGGCACCUCGAUGUCGGCUCAUCACAUCCUGGGGCUGAAGUAGGUCCCAAGGGUAUGGCUGUUCGCCAUUUAAAGUGGUACGCGAGCUGGGUUUAGAACGUCGUGAGACAGUUCGGUCCCUAUCUGCCGUGGGCGCUGGAGAACUGAGGGGGGCUGCUCCUAGUACGAGAGGACCGGAGUGGACGCAUCACUGGUGUUCGGGUUGUCAUGCCAAUGGCACUGCCCGGUAGCUAAAUGCGGAAGAGAUAAGUGCUGAAAGCAUCUAAGCACGAAACUUGCCCCGAGAUGAGUUCUCCCUGACCCUUUAAGGGUCCUGAAGGAACGUUGAAGACGACGACGUUGAUAGGCCGGGUGUGUAAGCGCAGCGAUGCGUUGAGCUAACCGGUACUAAUGAACCGUGAGGCUUAACCUUACAACGCCGAAGGUGUUU
rnacentral:rRNA from 1 species